GUCCUAAUUUCGGCAGCACGUAUACUAAAAUUGGAAUGAUACAGAGAAGAUUUGCAUGGCCCCUGCGAAUGGAUGACAUGCAAAUUCAUGAAACAUUUCAUAUUUUU